UACGAAGGGAGCUAGCGUUGUUCGGAAUUACUGGGCGUAAAGCGUGCGCAGGCGGCUUUGCAAGACAGAUGUGAAAUCCCCGGGCUUAACCUGGGAACUGCAUUUGUGACUGCAUGGCUGGAGUGCGGCAGAGGGGGAUGGAAUUCCGCGUGUAGCAGUGAAAUGCGUAGAUAUGCGGAGGAACACCGAUGGCGAAGGCAAUCCCCUGGGCCUGCACUGACGCUCAUGCACGAAAGCGUGGGGAGCAAACAGG
rnacentral:rRNA from 1 species